GCCCCAAACUAGAAACAGCCCAAAUGUUCACCAACAAGUGAGUGAAUGAACAAAUUAUGGUACAUUCAUACAAUGGAGCACCACUCAACAAUAAAGAGGAACAACCUAUUGAUCAUCAACAUGGAUGAAUCCCAGAGACGUGUUAAGUGAAAGAUGUCAAAGGAGUAUAUAUUAUAUGAUUCCAUGUAUAUGAAAUUGACUAGCAUAGAAAACUUUUUUAUGGUGAUAGAAAUCCCAGGAAUGGUAGCCUCAAGGUUGAAGGGAGUAACGGUAAAGCUUGAGCACAUUUGCAGGGGUAAUAGUGCUCCAUAUCUUGAGUUGGGUGAUAACACAGGUGUAUCCACUUUUCAAAACUUGUCCAAGUAUAUAUUUAAGAUUUAUGCAUUUUAGUGUAAGUAAAUUAUACCUCAAUAAAUAGAUUUUAAAAUAUUGUUGAUAAUUCAAAAAAUAGAACUUCAUUUGCCCAUCUCCAGUCUUUCGGCUUCUCUUCCUCUGUGGUAAAAAUUGCUGACUCUACUUACAAGAUCUUAUUUGUGAGUUCUUACUGUUGCAUGAUUUUAUUUAUAAUUCUAAUAAUGAAAUUACUUUUUAAAAACUUAUUUCUCUUUCAAUUCCAGGCCAAAAUUGACCUUUCUCAAGAUUCUCUUAGUUUACAAACUGAGGUCUGUCAUCCUCUGGUCACUGAAGUGAAGUCUGCUUAGGACAUAUUGUCCUGUAAAUAGGAUUGACAUUCCCUGGGGCCCUCUCAAUCUCUCUGAGCUUCCCUUUCCAUUUCUGACCAUUGAGAUGCUUACGAGAUGCUUUUCUCUGACUUCUUCAGUUCCAGCUGCUCCUUUCCAUUACCCUAAAGCUGUGGAUCACAAAGAGUGUUCUCCAGACCAGCAGUAUCUGCACCACCUGGAUCUUGUUAGAAAUGCAGAUUUUCGAACCCCACCCAUGAGCUACUGAAACAGAACUCUGAAGAACUUUAUCAUAAAGCUGCUCAAAAUUUCAGAAAAUCUAUCUCAGAAAAGCAUUGCUGCUUAUGUCUCUAGUACCGCACACCUUUAUCGAGUUGCAUCAGUAGUUUCAUACACUGGGUGGCGCAUGGUCUAUGCUGAGCGACAGAGACACUCAGGUUGUGUUCUCAGGAUGACCAAGUGGGAGACAGCAGCACCAGCAGUGGCAGAGACCCCGGACAUCAAGCUCUUUGGGAAGUGGAGCACCGAUGAUGUGCACAUCAAUGACAUUUCCCUGCAGGAUUACAUUGCAGUGAAGGAGAAAUAUGCCAAGUACCUACCUCACAGUGCAGGGUGGUAUGCCACCAGAAUCUUCCGCAAAGCUCAGUGUCCCAUUGUGGAGCGCCUUACUAACUCCAUGAUGAUGCACAGCUGCAACAACGGCAAGAAGCUCAUGACUGUGUGCAUCGUCAAGCAUGCCUUCAAGAUCAUACACCUGCUCACAGGCAAGAACCCUCUGCAGGUCCUGGUGAAUGCCAUCAUCAACAGUGGUCCUCAGGAGGACUCCACAUGCAUUGGGUGCACCGGGACUGUGAGACGACAGGCUGUGGACGUGUCCCCACUGCGCCGUGUGAAUCAAGCCAUCUGGCUGCUGUGCACAGGUGCUCGUGAGGCUGCCUUCUGGAACAUUAAGACCAUUGCUGAGUGCCUGGCAGAGGAGCUCAUCAGUGCUGCCAAGGGCUCCUCCAACUCCUAUGCCAUUAAGAAGAAGGACGUGUGGCCUUCUUGGAGCGUGUGGCCAAGUCCAACCGCUGA